rnacentral:rRNA from 1 species
CGCGGCCUAUCAGCUUGUUGGUGGGGUAAUGGCCUACCAAGGCGACGACGGGUAGCCGGCCUGAGAGGGUGACCGGCCACACUGGGACUGAGACACGGCCCAGACUCCUACGGGAGGCAGCAGUGGGGAAUAUUGCACAAUGGGCGCAAGCCUGAUGCAGCGACGCCGCGUGAGGGAUGACGGCCUUCGGGUUGUAAACCUCUUUCAGCACGGAAGAAGCGAAAGUGACGGUACGUGCAGAAGAAGCGCCGGCUAACUACGUGCCAGCAGCCGCGGUAAUACGUAGGGCGCAAGCGUUGUCCGGAAUUAUUGGGCGUAAAGAGCUCGUAGGCGGUUUGUCGCGUCUGCUGUGAAAGCCCGGGGCUUAACCCCGGGUGUGCAGUGGGUACGGGCAGACUUGAGUGCAGUAGGGGAGACUGGAACUCCUGGUGUAGCGGUGAAAUGCGCAGAUAUCAGGAAGAACACCGAUGGCGAAGGCAGGUCUCUGGGCUGUUACUGACGCUGAGGAGCGAAAGCAUGGGGAGCGAACAGGAUUAGAUACCCUGGUAGUCCAUGCCGUAAACGUUGGGCACUAGGUGUGGGGGACAUUCCACGUUUUCCGCGCCGUAGCUAACGCAUUAAGUGCCCCGCCUGGGGAGUACGG